GGAUUAGAUACCCUGGUAGUCCACGCCGUAAACGAUGUCAACUAGCCGUUGGAAUCCUUGAGAUUUUAGUGGCGCAGCUAACGCAUUAAGUUGACCGCCUGGGGAGUACGGCCGCAAGGUUAAAACUCAAAUGAAUUGACGGGGGCCCGCACAAGCGGUGGAGCAUGUGGUUUAAUUCGAAGCAACGCGAAGAACCUUACCAGGCCUUGACAUGCAGAGAACUUUCCAGAGAUGGAUUGGUGCCUUCGGGAACUCUGACACAGGUGCUGCAUGGCUGUCGUCAGCUCGUGCC
rnacentral:rRNA from 1 species